rnacentral:misc_RNA from 1 species
AGCGAGGGACAACCCGCCUAUACAGCCAGCGGGGAGGAUGGCACUACUGGCAAAGACCGUCUGGCGAAAACGCCGCAGGCGCGAAGCGUGGUAGGCCUGCGCCGAGGGA